rnacentral:rRNA from 1 species
CCCGGCCCCCCCACCAGGUGAUCCACGUGCCCUCCUUCCUGGACUACAUCCGCAACGGCACGGAGAUGGCCUUCGUGGCCGCGAUCGACUUCACGGGCUCGAACGGGGAGCCCAGCAUGCCGGACUCGCUGCACCACCUGGACCCCUCGGGCCGGCUGAACCCCUACGCCAGCGCCAUCACCGCCAUCGGGUCCGUGCUGGAGCACUACGACGACGACAAGCUGUUCCCCACCUACGGCUUCGGGGCGAAGCC